GACGAACGCUGGCGGCGUGCCUAAUACAUGCAAGUUGAGCGCUGAAGGUUGGUACUUGUGCCAACUGGAUGAGCAGCGAACGGGUGAGUAACGCGUGGGGAAUCUGCCUUUGAGCGGGGGACAACAUUUGGAAACGAAUGCUAAUACCGCAUAAAAACUUUAAACACAAGUUUUAAGUUUGAAAGAUGCAAUUGCAUCACUCAAAGAUGAUCCCGCGUUGUAUUAGCUAGUUGGUGAGGUAAAGGCUCACCAAGGCGAUGAUACAUAGCCGACCUGAGAGGGUGAUCGGCCACAUUGGGACUGAGACACGGCCCAAACUCCUACGGGAGGCAGCAGUAGGGAAUCUUCGGCAAUGGACGAAAGUCUGACCGAGCAACGCCGCGUGAGUGAAGAAGGUUUUCGGAUCGUAAAACUCUGUUGGUAGAGAAGAACGUUGGUGAGAGUGGAAAGCUCAUCAAGUGACGGUAACUACACAGAAAGGGACGGCUAACUACGUG
rnacentral:rRNA from 1 species